rnacentral:lncRNA from 1 species
GCAAGGGGAAAUGUGAUUGGCUCUUUGUCUUUGGACUGACGUCACUGGUGAAUACAGCGUGAGCGCGCAUUUUCUAAUGGCUGCUGAUCACUAUUGCAGAAAGAUCAAAGCAAGGCCAACCAGGAUGAGAUGAAAAUGUGUAUCAAGAGUUCAACCAGAUAGUGUGGAAGAAUCUUAAGCAAGAAUUAUAUUGGUCUCUUGAUCAUCACUGCCCACAGCUGAUUCGGAUCUUCAGGUCAAAGAGAGGAUUCACUGGACAGAUUUUUAUCUUCUACAAAAUAUCAAGGCGUCUGACCUCACUGACAUGCCUUGUGUUGCCAUUUGAGUGCUUCCAGUAGUUGUUGGUGAUGACCCAACAGUUCUUCAAAGCAUGUUUUGCUUCAGAUGAUGGAGACUCAAAUCAACAUGUGCCCGUUGGAAUUCUUAACCAAGAAAAUUAAGAUGUGGCUCUGCAACCCCUGUCCUUCCACCUCCACCCAUUCUCUGGGAAUCAUCUUGGAGGGAAAUGUUGUAAUGGACAAUAUAGACAAUAUACCCCAGGCCAAGUGUCUUUUUGGAUCAACCUAUGCACUGCACCUAGGCUACACAAAAUGCAUGGACAAUACCCUUCUUUUUAUUCAACAAGUUUGGGUAAGAAGAUGCUGAAGGGUAAGAUUCUGGCUGUUAAAAAUCAACUUGUCAUGUAAACUGGUACAGAAAAGGCAUGUUCCUUCAGGCUUGCUGUCCUAACUGUGAGAUAAAAAAAAUUAAAACUAUGCUUUAGUGUUUGGCAAGUGUAAAUAUUCCAUAAUGUUAAAAUGUAAUAACAUCCUGUGGUUGUUUAUUUUUUGGAUAUGUUUGUAAAAAUGUAUUUAAAAAUUUUAAACAAGUGUUUUAAUAAGAUUUAUAACAAUAAAUAUUGACUAAUUGUUAUACAAGGCAUUUUCUAGUUUUGUCACUUGUUUCGGAGUGAUAUUUCUAAAUGAUUUUAAAUAAACUGUAAAGUAAAUUUUUA